GACGAACGCUGGCGGCGUGCCUAAUACAUGCAAGUUGAGCGAUGAAGAUUGGUGCUUGCACCAAUUUGAAGAGCAGCGCACGGGUGAGUAACGCGUGGGGAAUCUGCCUUUGAGCGGGGGACAACAUUUGGAAACGAAUGCUAAUACCGCAUAACAACUUUAAACAUAAGUUUUAAGUUUGAAAGAUGCAAUUGCAUCACUCAAAGAUGAUCCCGCGUUGUAUUAGCUAGUUGGUGAGGUAAAGGCUCACCAAGGCGAGGAUACAUAGCCGACCUGAGAGGGUGGGCGGCCAGACUGGGAGUGAGACCCGGCCCAAACGCACUGGGGAGGCAGCAGUACGGAAUCUUCGGCAAUCGACGAAAGUCUGACCGCGCAACGCCGCGGGAGUGAAGAAGGGUUUCGGAUCGUAAAACUCUGUUUGUAGGGAAGAACGUUGGUGAGAGUGGAAAGCUCAGCAAGUGACGGUAACUACUCAGAAAGGGACGGCUAACUACGUG
rnacentral:rRNA from 1 species